rnacentral:rRNA from 1 species
UAGUCCACGCCGUAAACGAUGCUAACUCGAUAUUUGGAUCUUGAAUCUGAGUGUCUAAGCGAAAGCGAUAAGUUAGCCACCUGGGGAGUACGUUCGCAAGAAUGAAACUCAAAGGAAUUGACGGGGGCUCACACAAGCGGUGGAGGAUGUGGCUUAAUUCGAGGCAACGCGAAGAACCUUAUCCUGGAUUUGACAUGCAUGAAUGGCUCGCCUGAAAGGGAUGAGUCUGCCUUCGGGUGAAAUGUGCACAGGUGCUGCAUGGCUGUCGUCAGCUCGUGUCGUGAGACGUCGCGUUAAGUCGCUUAACGAGCGCAACCCUUGUCUUUAGUUGCCAGCACGUAAUGGGUGGGGACUCUAGAGAGACUGCCAGUGUCAAACCGGGAGGAAGGUGGGGGAC